rnacentral:sRNA from 1 species
UGGCGGUCGGGGGUGCUGGUGGGAGCCGCGUGUCCAGCGGGAGGGACCUGAAUUGCGUCCCCGAAAUAGCUGACACACUAGGGGCUGUGGCCAAGCAGGGGUGAGGGCCGGACCUCCACGAGCGGAAUGCGGGGUUUGAUUUCCUCUGCAUGCCUGUCUUCCAUCCGCGUUUCAAGAGGGAGUUCAUUCAGGAACCUGCUAAGAAUCGGCCCGGUCCCCAGACACGAUCAGACCUACUGCUGUCAGGAAGGGACUGGAAUACGCUAAUUGUGGGAAAGCUUUCUCCAUGGAUUCGUCCAGACUCAAAAGUGGAGAAGAUUCGCAGGAAUUCCGAGGCGGCCAUGUUGCAGGAGCUGAAUUUUGGUGCAUAUUUGGGUCUUCCAGCUUUCCUGCUGCCCCUUAAUCAGGAAGAUAACACCAACCUGGCCAGAGUUUUGACCAACCACAUCCACACUGGCCAUCACUCUUCCAUGUUCUGGAUGCGGGUACCCUUGGUGGCACCAGAGGACCUGAGAGAUGAUAUAAUUGAGAAUGCACCAACUACACACACACAGGAGUACAGUGGAGAGGAGAAAACGUGGAUGUGGUGGCACAACUUCCGGACUUUGUGUGACUAUAGUAAGAGGAUUGCAGUGGCUCUUGAAAUUGGGGCUGACCUCCCAUCUAAUCAUGUCAUUGAUCGCUGGCUUGGGGAGCCCAUCAAAGCAGCCAUUCUCCCCACUAGCAUUUUCCUGACCAAUAAGAAGGGAUUUCCUGUUCUUUCUAAGAUGCACCAGAGGCUCAUCUUCCGGCUCCUCAAG